rnacentral:tRNA from 1 species
GAGGGUGGAGCUCAGUGGUAGAGCAGGCGCUCAGCAUGCAUGAGGUCCUGGGUUUGAUCCCCAAGUACCUUCA